UACGUAGGGUGCAAGCGUUGUCCGGAAUUAUUGGGCGUAAAGAGCUCGUAGGCGGUCUGUCGCGUCUGCUGUGAAAACUCGGGGCUUAACCCCGGGCCUGCAGUGGGUACGGGCAGACUAGAGUGCGGUAGGGGAGACUGGAAUUCCUGGUGUAGCGGUGAAAUGCGCAGAUAUCAGGAGGAACACCGAUGGCGAAGGCAGGUCUCUGGGCAUUAACUGACGCUGAGGAGCGAAAGCUAGGGGAGCGAAUGGG
rnacentral:rRNA from 1 species